AUGUAGUGUGACAUGCCCGUUGGGGUUUUACUCUGAAUGUUGAAAUAUGAUUAUUUAAUUGAUUUUGGGAAACGGGGUGUUACAGUAGC
rfam:Medicago truncatula strain A17 chromosome 6, whole genome shotgun sequence.